ensembl:rRNA 5S_rRNA 5S ribosomal RNA
GUCUACAGCCAUGCCACCCUGAACAAGCUCGAUCCCAUCUGAUCUUGGAAGCUAAGCAGGGUGGGGCCUGUUUAGUAUUUGGAUGGGAGACCAACUAGGAAGAACAGAUGCUGUAGGUG